rnacentral:misc_RNA from 1 species
CUUCCGCGCACAUUCGCUAAUUGAAACGCAAACAGCCUCCGGCUACCAGCCACCUUCAUUUCCCCACACAUCCAUCCUUGAAGUGUACUUAUCCAGAGGAAAUACUUUGACAAUGAUGGAAAAAACGUGUGAUCCUAAAAAGGACGUCGCGUAGUGGGGACGCUUGCUCAAUAGCCGAAUACGUCUCGAUAUAAACCCAGUGACCGGACACUACCGCCGAACCUUCGCUGAAGAAUACACCAUCAUGUCUCGAUUCGUUUUUGUUCUUCUAGUUUUAACGGCAGCGGCGGCCUCCUGUUUGGCCGAACACUACUACGGAAAUUACGGUCACCACGGUGGUCACUACGGCCAUCAUGGCGGCCACUACGGUCAUCUCGGCAGCCACUACGGUCAUCACGGCGGCCAUGGUUUUUACAAGUACUACCCGCAUUACUACCACGGUCAUUAUGGUCACCAUUACUAAUCUUUCUUCUAUGACAUAGCAACAACAUCGACCAAAAUUUUUGUAAAAUAAAUUUUGUUUAAUUUGUUAA